UGGGGAAUAUUGCACAAUGGGGGAAACCCUGAUGCAGCGACGCCGCGUGAUUUAAAAGGCCUUCGGGUUGUAAAAAUCUUUUGUAUGGGAAGAAAAUGACAGUACCAUACGAAUAAGGACCGGCUAAUUACGUGCCAGCAGCCGCGGUAAUACGUAAGGUCCGAGCGUUGUCCGGAAUCAUUGGGCGUAAAGGGUACGUAGGCGGAUAAGCAAGUUAGAAGUGAAAUCCUAUAGCUCAACUAUAGUAAGCUUUUAAAACUGCUCAUCUUGAGGUAUGGAAGGGAAAGUAGAAUUCCUAGUGUAGCGGUGAAAUGCGCAGAUAUUAGGAGGAAUACCGGUGGCGAAGGCGACUUUCUGGCCAUAUACUGACGCUGAGGUACGAAAGCGUGGGUAGCAAACAGG
rnacentral:rRNA from 1 species